CACGUAGGGGGCGAGCGUUGUCCGGAUUUAUUGGGCGUAAAGAGCUCGUAGGCGGCUAAGUAAGUCAGGUGUGAAAACUCCAGGCUCAACCUGGAGACGCCACCUGAUACUGCUUGGCUAGAGUCCGGUAGGGGAGCAUGGAAUUCCUGGUGUAGCGGUGGAAUGCGUAGAGAUCGGGAAGAACAUCGGUGGCGAAGGCGGCCUGCUGGGCUGUUGCUGACGCUGAGGCGCGACAGCGGUGGGGAGCAACAGG
rnacentral:rRNA from 1 species